rnacentral:rRNA from 1 species
CUUCCGGAGCUAACGCGUUAAGUAGACCGCCUGGGGAGUACGGCCGCAAGGUUAAAACUCAAAUGAAUUGACGGGGGCCCGCACAAGCGGUGGAGCAUGUGGUUUAAUUCGAUGCAACGCGAAGAACCUUACCUGGUCUUGACAUCCACRGAASUUUYCAGAGAUGAGAAUGUGCCUUCGGGAACCGUGAGACAGGUGCUGCAUGGCUGUCGUCAGCUCGUGUUGUGAAAUGUUGGGUUAAGUCCCGCAACGAGCGCAACCCUUAUCCUUUGUUGCCAGCGAUUAGGUCGGGAACUCAAAGGAGACUGCCAGUGAUAAACUGGAGGAAGGUGGGGAUGACGUCAAGUCAUCAUGGCCCUUACGACCAGGGCUACACACGUGCUACAAUGGCGCAUACAAAGAGAAGCGACCUCGCGAGAGCAAGCGGACCUCAUAAA